CAAUAGCGUAUAUUAAAGUUGUUGCGGUUAAAAAGCUCGUAGUUGGAUUUCUGUCGAGGACGGUCGGUCCACACUUUGUGUGAGUAUCUGAUUCGGCCUUGGCAUCCUCCUGGGGUACGUUUCUGCGCUUGAUUGCGUGGAGCGGAAUUCAGGACUUUUACUUUGAGGAAAUUAGAGUGUUCACGGCAGGCAAACGCCUUGAAUAUAUUAGCAUGGAAUAAUAGAAUAGGACUUUGGUUCUAUUUUGUUGGUUUCUAGGACCGAAGUAAUGAUUAAUAGGGACAGUUGGGGGCGAUUUUUAUUCCAUUGUCAGAGGUGAAAUUCUUGGAUUAACGGAAGAAAAACUAACUGCGAAAGCAUCUGCCAAGGAUGUUUUCAUUGAUCAAGAACGAAAGUUAGGGGAUCGAAGACGAUUAGAUACCAU
rnacentral:rRNA from 1 species